CUACGGGCCGCUGCAGUGGGGAAUAUUGCACAAUGGGCGAAAGCCUGAUGCAGCAACGCCGCGUGAGUGAUGAAGGCCUUCGGGUCGUAAAACUCUGUCCUCAAGGAAGAAUAAUGACGGUACUUGAGGAGGAAGCCCCGGCUAACUACGUGCCAGCAGCCGCGGUAAUACGUAGGGGGCAAGCGUUAUCCGGAAUCACUGGGCGUAAGGGGUGCGUAGGCGGUUUUACAAGUCAGGUGUGAAAGGCUAUGGCUCAACCAUAGUAAGCACUUGAAACUGUAUAACUUGAGUGCAGGAGAGGAAAGUGGAAUUCCUAGUGUAGCGGUGAAAUGCGUAGAUAUUAGGAGGAACACCAGUGGCGAAGGCGACUUUCUGGACUGUAACUGACGCUGAGGCACGAAAGCGUGGGGAGCGAACAGGAUUAGAUACCCCCGUAGUC
rnacentral:rRNA from 1 species